rnacentral:rRNA from 1 species
UACGGAGGGAGCUAGCGUUGUUCGGAAUUACUGGGCGUAAAGCGCGCGUAGGCGGCUUUGUAAGUUAGAGGUGAAAGCCCGGGGCUCAACCCCGGAAUUGCCUUUAAGACUGCAUCGCUUGAAUCCGGGAGAGGUGAGUGGAAUUCCGAGUGUAGAGGUGAAAUUCGUAGAUAUUCGGAAGAACACCAGGUGGCGAAGGCGGCUCUGCGGCACUGAGACUG